rnacentral:rRNA from 1 species
UACGGGGGGCAAGCGUUGUUCGGAAUUACUGGGCGUAAAGGGCUCGUAGGCGGCCAACUAAGUCGGAUGUGAAAUCCCCAGGCUUAACCUGGGAACUGCAUCCGAUACUGGAUGGCUUGAAUCCGGGAGAGGGAUGCAGAAUUCCAGGUGUAGCGGUGAAAUGCGUAGAUAUCUGGAGGAACACCGGUGGCGAAGGCGGCAUCCUGGACCGAUAUUGACGCUGAGGCGCGAAAGCCAGGGGAGCAAACAGG